GACGAACGCUGGCGGCGUGCCUAAUACAUGCAAGUCGAACGCUGAAGCUUGGUGCUUGCACCGAGCGGAUGAGUUGCGAACGGGUGAGUAACGCGUAGGUAACCUGCCUGGUAGCGGGGGAUAACUAUUGGAAACGAUAGCUAAUACCGCAUAAGAGUAGAUGUUGCAUGACAUUUGCUUAAAAGGUGCAAUUGCAUCACUACCAGAUGGACCUGCGUUGUAUUAGCUAGUUGGUGAGGUAACGGCUCACCAAGGCAACGAUACAUAGCCGACCUGAGAGGGUGAUCGGCCACACUGGGACUGAGACACGGCCCAGACUCCUACGGGAGGCAGCAGUAGGGAAUCUUCGGCAAUGGACGGAAGUCUGAACGAGCAACGCCGCGUGAGUGAAGAAGGUUGUCGGAUCGUAAAGCUCUGUUGUAAGAGAAGAACGAGUGUGAGAGUAGAAAGUUCACACUGUGACGGUAGCUUACCAGAAAGGGACGGCUAACUACGUG
rnacentral:rRNA from 1 species